UACGUAGGGUGCAAGCGUUGUCCGGAAUUAUUGGGCGUAAAGAGCUCGUAGGCGGCUUGUCGCGUCGGCUGUGAAAACCUGGGGCUCAACCCCGGCCUGCAGCCGAUACGGGCAAGCUAGAAUUCGGUAGGGGAGACUGGAAUUCCUGGUGUAGCGGUGGAAUGCGCAGAUAUCAGGAGGAACACCGAUGGCGAAGGCAGAUCUCUGGGCCGUAACUGACGCUGAGGAGCGAAAGCAUGGGGAGCGAACAGG
rnacentral:rRNA from 1 species